CCUACGGGUGGCAGCAGUGAGGAAUAUUGGUCAAUGGGCGCGAGCCUGAACCAGCCAAGUAGCGUGAAGGAUGACUGCCCUACGGGUUGUAAACUUCUUUUAUAAAGGAAUAAAGUGCGGCACGUGUGCCUUUUUGUAUGUACUUUAUGAAUAAGGAUCGGCUAACUCCGUGCCAGCAGCCGCGGUAAUACGGAGGAUCCGAGCGUUAUCCGGAUUUAUUGGGUUUAAAGGGAGCGUAGAUGGGUUGUUAAGUCAGUUGUGAAAGUUUGCGGCUCAACCGUAGAAUUGCAAUUGAUACUGGCAGGCUGGAGUGCAGUUGAGGUAGGCGGAAUUCGUGGUGUAGCGGUGAAAUGCUUAGAUAUCACGAAGAACUCCGAUUGCGAAGGCAGCUUACUAAACUGCAACUGACAUUGAGGCUCGAAAGUGUGGGUAUCAAACAGGAUUAGAUACCCUUGUAGUC
rnacentral:rRNA from 1 species